CCAAUCAAGAAAAUAUUUAUGCAAAAAAAACCGUUUAUUUCUGGCAAUUUUUGCCAGGCUCUCCAACCAAUUUGCAUGUAUUUAAGGAAAAUUUCAUGUGCGUGUCUUGUGCAGUUUGAAGUUUGGCUUGCGGCAAAGUGAUUGAGCCAAGUCAAGCAUCCAUUUAGGCUAGUCAAUUAGUUGCCCAUUGAAUCGAUAACGUCUUAGACAUCGUGUCACACAAUUCUGCCUGCCUGCCCAACUAUCUCACCGACAUAGCCAAGAGGCUUGGGUGCUAUUGGAUAGUGAAAUCAGAUCACCACUUUCUAUUGAUUCAAAGUGGGUUCAGCACAUGAAUUGUGACUGUAACGAGCAGCAAUUAUAUGAACUUUUCAUUAAGUAAAAGUAAGUUAGAUAAAUAGUUACAAUUGAGUGUGCGG
rnacentral:lncRNA from 1 species